CGUGGGAGGGUCAAGCCCCCCAACCCCCGAACCUCAGGCCUGGUGGCCCCGCGCGUGUGUCUAGACCCGCAGCCCGCCCCUUACCUCGCCUUCCGGCUCCCGCGGCCGCUCCGACGCCAUGGCGGCCACGGAAGAGCCCGCGCCGUGAAGCCAGCGGCGCGCCUAACCAACGACUCGGCGUUUCCGCCUUCCUGCGCGGCGGCGCCAGGACGUACGUCACCAAAAGGCGACGGAGGCCUUCGCCGCCGGAAGUGCUCGGCGUGGCGGGCCUACAGGGCCGCACGUGCAAGUCUGGGGCAGCUACAGCGUUGGAAGGUGGCUUCCGGGCCCGCCAGCAAGGGUGCGGCUGAGCUCUUCUUACGUGGGCCGGGCUUCGUGAUGUGACACUAGGAGAGGCCAGGCAGGAGAGGGGGACCCCUAGGAACAAUGAGGCCUGCAGAACUAGUCGGUGGUGGUGAGCUUCCAGGAACAUCCGCUAGUGUGGAAUUUCUAGGCAAGUUGCAUUUAACUGAGCUCUGUCGCUGUGAAGAAUACAGCUCAUGCACAGGUAUGAAGAAUAACAUUCCUUUAUAACAAAGCUUACCUGGCUCAUGAAUCAUGUAAUGAACCCAUCCUAGACUCUGUUGGACACCAAGUCUCCUCCACUCUUCUUCGGACAUCAGAUGAGUUUUGGGUACUUGUUUGGAGAGUUCUCUGGGUAGCAUGACAUGCCUGUUAAAAUAUUCAGCCAAAGAUUAAUGCCAUCUUUCCUGCCAUCAUCACUUUAUACAGAUCAUAGUAGAGGCAGGAAGGACUGCCAAGUUUCAGGGCACUUUGGAUUACCAGUUUUUGAGGAGGUCUUUCUCUGAACUCAGGGAGACCAGCCAGUGCCUCAUCCUCAAUUUCCAAUUUUUAAGACUACAAAAUACCAGGCUGGUGAGAUGGCUCAGCGGGUAAGAGCACUGACUGCUCUUCCGAAGGUCCUGAGUUCGGAUCCCAGCAACCACACGGUGGCUCACAACCAUC